GCUGGAGUUGUGGCUCAGUGGUAGAGCACUUGCCUGGCAUGUGUGAGGCACUGGGUUCAAUCCUCAGCCCUGCA
rnacentral:tRNA from 1 species